rnacentral:misc_RNA from 1 species
UGGCUCUCGUAUCGAUGAAGAACGCAGCGAAAUGCGAUAAGUAAUGUGAAUUGCAGAAUUCAGUGAAUCAUCGAAUCUUUGAACGCAUCUUGCACCCUUUGGUAUUCCGAAGGGUAUGCCUGUUUGAGUGUCAUUAAAUUCUCAAUCCUAUUAGACUUUUGUUUGAUUUUGGAUUGGAUUUGAGGGUUUUGUUGGCUUGUCAAAGUCUGACUCCCUUUAAAUGCAUGAGUGGUGUAUUUGAUCCCUAUUACUCAGUGUGAUAAUCUUAUCUACAUUGUGUAAUGGCAAAUGUUAACUGCUUUCUAACUGUCUUUCAUAAGGACAAUCUGAACCAUUUGACCUCAAAUCAGGUAGGACUACCCGCUGA